rnacentral:rRNA from 1 species
GACGAACGCUGGCGGCGUGCUUAACACAUGCAAGUCGAACGGAAAGGCCCUGCUUUUGUGGGGUGCUCGAGUGGCGAACGGGUGAGUAACACGUGAGUAACCUGCCCUUGACUUUGGGAUAACUUCAGGAAACUGGGGCUAAUACCGGAUAGGAGCUCCUGCUGCAUGGUGGGGGUUGGAAAGUUUCGGCGGUUGGGGAUGGACUCGCGGCUUAUCAGCUUGUUGGUGGGGUAGUGGCUUACCAAGGCUUUGACGGGUAGCCGGCCUGAGAGGGUGACCGGCCACAUUGGGACUGAGAUGCGGCCCGGACUCCUACGGGAGGCAGCAGUGGGGAAUAUUGCACAAUGGGCGGAGGCCUGAUGCAGCGACGCCGCGUGCGGAAUGACGGCCUUCGGGUUGUAAACCGCUUUCGCCUGUGACGAAGCGUGAGUGACGGUAAUGGGGAAAGAAGCACCGGCUAACUACGU